AUUGAGUUCAGACCAUAGUCAAAUGGUAUUGGCUCAAGUGUUGAUCCAAAGUACACCCUUGUAUGAUUCUACUAAUCAUAACUUUUGGCAUAGUUAUAUGAAAGAUAUUACAACUUGAAUAGCAUGUUACAUAGCAUUACAUGAUACAUGAAAAUUAUUUUCAUUCUUUUUAUAUGCAUAUUACAUAUGAUGUAAGUGUUAGGAUGUGUUAG
rnacentral:lncRNA from 1 species